GGGGAUGUAAUGGUUUCGACGGGGGUAGUGAAGCCGGAUAAGCGAGCCGUGGUCGCCGGAUCCACGUAAAAAGCUGGCCGUUAAAUAUAAACGCUAAAAAUAAUAAUUUCGCAUUUGCUGCCUAAUUUCGCAGCCCGCGCGUCACUCAUCGUUCACCUGCAGGCGGUGAUGCUGGCGUCAACCAUGCAGGAAAACUUCGCUGUAAUUCCCGUGGCAGCGAGGGACUAACGGGAUAACUUGGGUGAUGGCCUGCCGGUGGGCAGUCAUUCGGGCGAAAACUCAAUCAUCGGAUGCGCUCGGAGAAAGUUCUGUGGAUUUGCUUUCGGACGUGGGUUCGACACCCACCAUCUCCACCA
rnacentral:tmRNA from 1 species